AUGUGACGACAUCACCGCUCGACUUGUAGAGGACGGAUACAGCUUUGUUGUAGAACAAGCGAGAGCUUGUGAUGUGCGGCGCUAUCUGAUACUCAGCUUUGAUGUCAUUGGUGUAACAUGGACCCAGACGGGGACGUAAACCCUGACACGGAUGACCUUCCGCUCCGAGCGAAUACUAACCACAUACUGGUCAGACAUUAUGUGCUGGACCUGACCGUUCAUUUUGACAGUAGGGUCAUCAGUGGUAGCAUCGUUCUGUUCCUGGAGCCUCGCUCUGGAGUGAGGACUGAGGCUGACGAUGACCUUGCUGGAGAAAGUCAAGAUGGUUUUACAUCUAGAUUUCAGGAUGUGGAUGCUAUGGGGGGUGGUAAGAAAGGACUUGGAAAGACUACGACAAAGGUGGAGAAGAUGAGUGAUAAGACAGAAAGUCAGACUGAAGCUGAGUUCACCUUAGUGUUGGACUGCUGUGAUCUUGACGUGUCAAAGGUUGAAGAAGUGGACGUCACCUCUGUGCCCGCCAUGUUAAGCCACUUCCCAGAGGUCGCAUCUAAAAAGUCAGUGAACCCACAGGCAGCUUUUAUUCAGAACCUUAUCUCCAUGCCCUCCAGCCGGUGGAGGCAGCAGCACCAGCUCUUUUCACUGUGUAGCCGUGCCCCCGGUGCUCCGGAUGGAAGCUCACUGCAGUUCUACAGAGACAGAUGGAGCCUACAGGUGAGGAAAAACGGGGUCACAUCACCUCAGGAGUUCCCUUGUGCUCUCAGGAUCUGGUAUGAGACGAAACCAGCAGGAGGUUCAGUGAGGUGGACCAAAGACCAGGACAACAGGGUGUGUGUUUACACUGCCGGUUCUCCCAUCAACAACCGAGCCCUCUUCCCCUGCCAGGAGCCGCCUGUUGCCAUGUCAACAUGGCAGGCAACAGUACGGGCCCCCAGUGAGUGCGUGGUUUUGAUGAGCGGGGAGGAGCAGGCAGUACCUACUGUGGAUGGGGACACACAUUUCUUAACAUGGAAUUACUAUGUAACAAUGCCCAUGCCCGCCUCCACCUUCACUUUGGCAGUGGGGCACUGGCGACAAGUCACGGCAGAAAUCCCCCCAGCACUGGAAAAAGGGGUGAGGGACAGGACAGACUAUGGCACCACCGCCAAACUUGGGGCCACGUCUGGGCAAUGGACGGAGGCUGAGUGUGUGUCUGGACUUGGAAGUUCCUCUAGUGAAGUAGUAAAGGGCUCUCCUCUCCAGGCUUGCAGCGGAGACCACACUACCUGCGUACACUCUGCAUUCUGUUACUCUUCCCUUGAGGAUGAGGGACUCUCUGUAACUGAUUAUUCAGGCAUGGGGGAUGACGGCAUUUCUUGUUCCCAUGGCGACUACCCUUGCCGAUUUACUGAGCGGUCGGCUUGGUCCCAGCGGGUGAUUCCACACCGUGUAUUUAGCCCUGCCUGCCUGCUGCAAAAGGCCCAGAUGGGAAUCCUUAAGCUGUUGCCUCAGUGUUUGGCAGCAGCCCAUGCUGUUCUGGGGGUGCACCCCUUUCCCCGCCUUGAUGUUCUCAUUGUCCCAGCAGGGUUCUCCAGUCUGGGAAUGGCCAGCCCCCAUAUCAUUUUCCUGUCCCAGAGUGUGUUGUAUGCUGGGAGUCCUGGUUUAAAAGAAAGCAGCCUGUCUCUGUGUGGGUCCAGGAUUUGCCAUGAAAUUGCCCACUCCUGGUUUGGCCUGGUUAUUGGAGCCAGAGACUGGACUGAAGAAUGGAUCAGCGAAGGCUUUGCCACCUGUCUCGAAGACAUUAUCUGGGCCCAAGCACAACAACUCUCUUUAAAGGAGAAAAAAGAGCAGUUUGACCUGAAGGCACUGCUGAGGUGGAGAAGACUUUUCGAUGAGUUGCAAAACUCAAAACAGGAACUUCAGGUCCUCAGACCUAACAUGGAGAAGACUGGUCAGGUCAGUGAGUCUGGCUCCUCCACAGUUAAGCAUGCCCUCAACCCUGAAAAACCCUUCAUGCAAGUCCACUACCUCAAGGGCUACUUCCUCCUCAGGUUCUUGGCCAGUCAAGUUGGAGAGCAACAGUUUAUUGAUUUCUUCCAAUUAUUUGUGAAGAAAUACCACGGGCAUCUCAUUUUGUCUCAGGAUUUCCUGCAAAUGUUACUGAUUAGCUUUCCCGACAUCGAAAGAAAAGGCCUCACCCUCAGUGCUAUUUAUGCUGACUGGCUAGAUCAACCAGGAAUUCCUAAGUGGCUGUAUGAAAGGAGCGCCGUGUGGUCGCAGACAAGGCUGGUGGAAGAAGUCAAAGCAGAGGUUGUAAAAUGGAUUCUCCUCAGUCAGAGUCAUCAUGGGAAGGGCAGAAAGCGGAAGAGAAUGGAGCCCAAGGUGAACUACAAAGAGUUGACGUCGGAGCAGCUAGUGAUGCUUCUGGAACUUCUGUUGGAGGAAUCGGAGAUAAGUAUGGCAUUACUGCGCGCUCUGCAGAGAACCUACAGUCUGCCGAAUCAAGACGCUGAGGUCCGACAUCGCUGGUGCGAGCUUGUGGUCAAACACGCGUACACUCAGGCUUACGGAGAUGUGGAAAACUUUCUGAUUCACGACCAAUUUUUGUGUGUGUGUGUGCACUCCAGGCCAUGGGCGUGUAUCUGUACGGGGAGCUGAUGGUUCACGAGGACCCUGAGCAACAGGCUCUGGCGCGUCGCUGCCUCUCACUAGUCCGGGAAGAAAUGGACCAAUCAGCACGCAGAGUGGUGGAGGAGAUGGUCCUCUAACAGUAGAGGUUGCUGACUACAGACAGGAGGGACAGGAGUUUGGCACAGAGGCCGGACGAGGGUCCAGCACUCACCUGCUCUUUUUGUGGGAUGCUGCAGAAUAGCUCAGCAGUGUGAAAACCAGAGGGCUGCAUUCAUCCUCUGCAACUAAGGCCAACUGGCAAGAUUUAGAGCACAGCAGCUCUGUUCAUUCAAGUCUAAGAAAUAGCUGGUGUGUGCUAGAUAUGUGCACCAUUAGUCAGCUGGGUGAUUUAAUGUUGGUGUCCCCAUCAGCUGAACUAAUUAUCCAUAUUUUAUUAACCCUUUGAGGUGUGAGUUAUCAAAGGUGUUAAACCUAAACCAGAUUUUUGUGUAAAUGGGGAAUAGCGUGUGAUGUGUCAGUUUAUUUUCUUUGUUCCCUGAUUGCCAAAAUGGGGAAUGGCAAUUAAUAAAAACUACAUGCAUUCACUGGA